CAUAGUAAGCACCCAUGUGUUGAAAACACAUAUUGAAAUGGCACAAUCGACCUGCCGCCCAACGAAUGUGAGGGGCGAUACCAAAC
rnacentral:sRNA from 12 species